UACGUAGGGACCGAGCGUUGUCCGGAAUCAUUGGGUGUAAAGGGUCCGCAGGCGGAUGUGUAAGUCGGAGGUGAAAUCUUCCCGCUCAACGGGAAAACUGCUUUCGAUACUGCACGUCUUGAGUACGGGAGAGGGUGGUGGAAUUCCUGGUGUAGCGGUGAAAUGCGUAGAUAUCAGGAAGAACACCGGUAGCGAAGGCGGCCACCUGGCCCGUUACUGACGCUCAGGGACGAAAGCGUGGGGAGCAAACAGG
rnacentral:rRNA from 1 species